rnacentral:misc_RNA from 1 species
GACGAACCGUCCAAACGUUAUUCGGAAUCACUGGGCUUAAAGGGUGCGUAGGCGGCGCGGAAAGUUGGAUGUGAAAGCCCUCGGCUCAACCGAGGAACUGCGUCCAAAACUUCCGUGCUUGAGUGAGGCAGAGGUAAGCGGAACUUAGGGUGGAGCGGUGAAAUGCGUUGAUAUCCUAAGGAACACCGGUGGCGAAAGCGGCUUACUGGGCCUCAACUGACGCUGAUGCACGAAAGCUAGGGUAGCGAACGGG